rnacentral:rRNA from 1 species
UACGUAGGGUGCGAGCGUUGUCCGGAAUUAUUGGGCGUAAAGGGCUCGUAGGCGGUUUGUCGCGUCGGGAGUGAAAACCUCGGGCUUAACUCGGGGCUUGCUUUCGAUACGGGCAGACUAGAGGUAUGCAGGGGAGAACGGAAUUCCUGGUGUAGCGGUGAAAUGCGCAGAUAUCAGGAGGAACACCGGUGGCGAAGGCGGUUCUCUGGGCAUGAUCUGACGCUGAGGAGCGAAAGUGUGGGGGAGCGAACAGG